UUUUUUUUUGGCGGGAAAUAGAUUUACAAGGGAUUUUAAAAGGGUUUUAAAAUAUUUUGAAAGAUUUAGGGUUUAAAAGAUUUACAAGAGAUUUUAAAAGGGUUUUAAAAGAUUUACAAGGGAUUUUAAAGGGCUUUAAAAGACUUACAAGAGUUUUUUUAAAGAUAUGUAAAUGGUUUAAAAGUGUUUUAAAAUAUUUACAAGAGAUUUUUAAAGGGUUUUAAAAGAUGUAAAAGAGUUUUUAAAAGAUUUUAAAAGAAAUUAUAAGAAAAUCCUUUAAAAACUCUUGUAAAUCUUUUAAAAACCUUUUGUAAAGGUUUAGAAGAGAUUUAAAAUGGUUCAAAAAGAGUUGUAAAUGUUUUAAAUACUUACAAUUUUUUUUCUAAGAGUUAAAAAAUGCUUGUAAAGACUUUAUAAGAGUUUUAAAAGGAUUUACAAAGGUUUAAAAUCCUUGUAAAUGCUUUUAAAACUCUUUAAAAACUCUUGUAAAUCAUGUUUUACCCUUUUAUAAGCUUUUAAAAUCCUUGUAAAUCAUUAUAUACCACUUACUUAUCUUUUAAAAACGAUUGUAAACCAUGCAAACCUUUUUUAAAAUCUCUUGUAAAUCAUUCUUUGACACUUACUUAUGCUUUAAAAACGAUUGUAAAUCAUGUUAACCCCUUUUAAAAUCCCUUGUAAAUCAUUCAAUGUCACUUACUUAUGCUUUAAAACGAUUGUAAAUCAUACAAACACUUUUAAAAUCCCUUGUAAAUCAUUCUAUGCCACUUACUUAUGCUUUAAAAACGAUUGUAAAUCAUGUUUUACCCUUUUAUAAGCUUUUAAAAUCCCUUGUAAAUAAUUCCAAUACCACUUACUUAUACUUAAAAAAACAUUGUAAACCAUGCUAACCCUUUUUAAAAAUCUUUGUAAAUCAUUCUAUGCCACUUACUUAUGCUUUAAAAACGAUUGUAAAUCAUGUUUUACCCUUUUAUAAGCUUUUCAAAUCCCUUGUAAAUCAUUCAAUGCCACUUACUUAUGCUACAAAACGAUUGUAAACCAUGCUAACCCUUUUUAAAUCCCUUAUAAAUCAUUCUAUGUCACUUACUUAUGCUUUAAAACGAUUGUAAAUCAUGUUUUACCCUUUAAUAAGCUUUUAACAUCCCUUGUAAAUCAUUCAAUGCCACUUACUUAUGCUUAAAAAACGAUUGUAAAUCUUGUAAAACUAUUGUAAAAAGUUUUAAAAUGAUUUACAAAGGUUUAAAAAGGGGUUUUAAAGUAUUUACCUAUGUUUUUAAAGACUUUAUAAAUAUUUUAAGAGGUUUUAAAAUGAUUUACAAGGGUUUUUAGCAACUACCAAAGCUUUUAAAAAACCUUGUAAAGUUUUUUAAAAGAGUUUUUAAAAAACUUUACAAGGUUUUUUAAAAGAGUUUUUAAAAAAUUUACAAGGAUUUUUAAAAGCAUUUUUUUGGCUGGGAAAAAAAAUUUACGAGAAAAAAAUUUGGCGGGAAAAUUUUUUUUGGCGGGAUUUUUUUUUUUGGUGGGAAAAAAAGUUUGGCAGAAAUGUUUUUUGGCGGGAAAAAUAAUUUUUGGCGCCAAAAAUUUGGCGGGAAACUAUCAGUUUCCAAUUACAUGUUCUUAUUAGAUGAGGGUAAUUUGGUCAUUCUGUUCAAGGGAAGAGAUAUUUUUAAAAAUGAAUAAUAUAAAAGGGUAUUAUUACAAAAAGGUAGUAAAAAAAGGAUAGUUUUGUAAAUCUGCCUAAUCAAAAUCUGCUACUUACUAAAAUAAAAUUGAAUUCAUUUAAGUUAUAAAGUUUAAUCCACCUCAAAAAUGAACUUUUAUAUCAGUUUUGAGUUGACAAAAAAGAGUUAGGGUUUAGAUUUUAUGAUUAAACAAAGUGAAAUCUCUGUUUGAGUUUAUAAACAUUUAGAUUUUAUAAUUAAACGAGGUUAAAUAUUGGUUUAGGUUUAGAAAAAAUUGUUAGGGUUUAGAUUUUACAUUUUAACAAGUUUAAGUAUCGGUUUGGAGUUUACAAAGGAGAAGUAAAGUUAGAUUUUGUAAUUAAACGAAAUUAUAUAUAUCAGUUUGGAUUAAUAGAAGAGUGGUUGGAUUUUACAUUUUAUAG
rnacentral:sRNA from 1 species